GAGUCUUCUCGGCCUUUUGGCUAAGAUCAAGUGUAGUAUCUGUUUUCAUUUUAGUGAGUCUUAUCUUUUGCAAUGUGCCUGAAGUACGGCAGCUUCAGUUUCAUCAUUUUUGCUUUGAAGAAUACAAUAUUAGGAAGACCUGCU
rnacentral:snRNA from 1 species